rnacentral:lncRNA from 1 species
UAUUCCAAUUAAUCUCCGAAUAUCCAUCGAAUGGAUUCUGGAGAUAUCUCCGUGAGGAGCACCAAAAGAGGGUAAAACCUCGGGAAUUGGACCUAGACCUUGACACCAUAAUAAAUGAUUAAUGCUAGAUUAAUACCUUUUAUGAUGGAUGAAAGUUGUGAAUCUGAUUCUUGACUUCGCAGCCACGCACACGAAUGGCCUCUACGAGAAGUACACGCGAAGUCCUGAAGGAUCUUCUUCCGCAACAGUGCUAGCAGCUGCAGAACACUUGAAAGCUGAAAUCUGCCCGCCGGGAUUCAA